AUGUGUACUAUAAACCAAUAUGCGGAUGACACUACAUUCACAGUGAGGGAAGGAAAUAGUGUAAAAAGAGUUUUAGAGAUAGUGAAGUGGUAUGGGAAGGCAUCAGGGGCAAAAAUUAAUGUAGAUAAAUCUGAAUUAAUGUAUAUAGGGGAGGUAGAGAGAGUAGAAGUAGGGGUCAGAGUGGAGGAAAAAUAUAUAAAAGCAUUAGGGGUAAAUUUAGGGGUGGAAAGCAAAGAGGCAAGAGAUGUGACUUGGACCGGGGUGAUUAAUAAAAUAAGAACAGUAAGUGCAGCAUGGAAAGGGAGGAAAUUAAGAUUAAAUGGGAAGGUAAUAGUAGUAAAUAGUCUGUUGUUGUCAGUAUGUGUGUAUGUAAUGAGUGUAAUGGAAAUGCCAGGGUGGGUGAUGAAUGAAUUGAAUAAAAUUGUAUUUAAGUUUAUAUGGGAGGGAAAAGGGGUGAAAAUUGCACAGAAAACAUUGGUGGGUAAGAGAUGGGAAGGGGGCUUAAACUUGAUGGACCUAGAAAUAAAAAGGGCUGCGAUGAGAAUAAAAACGGUGAUAAAAUAUAUGGGAGGGCGAUGGGAUUAUGGGUGGAAGGAAUUCUUAAGGAAAUAUAUUGAUGACGUGGGAGGAAUAGGGGAUAAUGGUUGGUAUAUGGGCUUUAAGCAAUCAAUGACCGGAGGAAUACCAGAAAUAUAUCGGGAAGUAUUAGAGGCAUGGAGGCAGUUCCUGCCAAAAAUAGAGUAUGAGUGUGAAGACAUACAUGUGAUUAAAAAUCUACCACUGCUUCUUAAUGAAAAAAUUAAAUAUAAAAAUAAAACAUUGUAUGAAUGUAAAUUUAUAGAAGGGGGCAUAAAACAAGUAAAGGACAUUUUGUACGAAGUGAUUCCAGGAUUUCUCAGAAAUAACUGCAUUUAUGAUUCUGUGUGUGAUCUGGAAGGAAUGGAGAACAGAGAGAAAGUAAAUAAAAUAUAUGGAAAAAUUAAAUCAAGUAUACCCUUGCAGUGGACUAAUGUGAUCGAACUUGAAUGUGUAUCUAAUGUGGAAAAAUGUAUGCCGGAGAUGUAUGUGGAUGAUAAAGGCGAGAAAAACAAAAUAAAAAAUAUGAGUGUAAAGAAUAUAUAUAUACCAGGUGCUGUAAGCUUUAGUUUUUUCGUCAAUACGGAUCUACUACAUUGCGCAUUAGGGUGCCUGAUCUUUAAAUAGCCCACACUUUGUAGCAGCCCUCGCUUACGGCCAUACCACCCUGAGUGCGCCUGGUGUCGUCUGAUCUUGGAAGCUAAGCAGGGUCGGGCCUGGUUAGUACUUGGAUGGGAGACCACCUGGGAAUACCAGGUGCUGUAAGCUUUAGUUUUUUCGUCAAAAUUGAUCUAAUAUACUGCACAUUAGGGUGGCUGAUCUUUAAAUAGCCCACACUUUGCAGCAGCCCUCGCUUACGGCCAUACCACCCUGAGCGCGCCCGAUCUCGUCUGAUCUCGGAAGCUAAGCAGGGUCGGGCCUGGUUAGUACUUGGAUGGGAGACCGCCUGGGAAUACCAGGUGCUGUAAGCUUUAGUUUUUUCGUCAAAAUUGAUCUAAUAUACUGCACAUUAGGGUGGCUGAUCUUUAAAUAGCCCACACUUUGCAGCAGCCCUCGCUUACGGCCAUACCACCCUGAGCGCGCCCGAUCUCGUCUGAUCUCGGAAGCUAAGCAGGGUCGGGCCUGGUUAGUACUUGGAUGGGAGACCGCCUGGGAAUACCAGGUGCUGUAAGCUUUAGUUUUUUCGUCAAAAUUGAUCUAAUAUACUGCACAUUAGGGUGGCUGAUCUUUAAAUAGCCCACACUUUGCAGCAGCCCUCGCUUACGGCCAUACCACCCUGAGCGCGCCCGAUCUCGUCUGAUCUCGGAAGCUAAGCAGGGUCGGGCCUGGUUAGUACUUGGAUGGGAGACCGCCUGGGAAUACCAGGUGCUGUAAGCUUUAGUUUUUUCGUCAAAAUUGAUCUAAUAUACUGCACAUUAGGGUGGCUGAUCUUUAAAUAGCCCACACUUUGCAGCAGCCCUCGCUUACGGCCAUACCACCCUGAGCGCGCCCGAUCUCGUCUGAUCUCGGAAGCUAAGCAGGGUCGGGCCUGGUUAGUACUUGGAUGGGAGACCGCCUGGGAAUACCAGGUGCUGUAAGCUUUAGUUUUUUCGUCAAAAUUGAUCUAAUAUACUGCACAUUAGGGUGGCUGAUCUUUAAAUAGCCCACACUUUGCAGCAGCCCUCGCUUACGGCCAUACCACCCUGAGCGCGCCCGAUCUCGUCUGAUCUCGGAAGCUAAGCAGGGUCGGGCCUGGUUAGUACUUGGAUGGGAGACCGCCUGGGAAUACCAGGUGCUGUAAGCUUUAGUUUUUUCGUCAAAAUUGAUCUAAUAUACUGCACAUUAGGGUGGCUGAUCUUUAAAUAGCCCACACUUUGCAGCAGCCCUCGCUUACGGCCAUACCACCCUGAGCGCGCCCGAUCUCGUCUGAUCUCGGAAGCUAAGCAGGGUCGGGCCUGGUUAGUACUUGGAUGGGAGACCGCCUGGGAAUACCAGGUGCUGUAAGCUUUAGUUUUUUCGUCAAAAUUGAUCUAAUAUACUGCACAUUAGGGUGGCUGAUCUUUAAAUAGCCCACACUUUGCAGCAGUUGAAUAUGGCACUGUUCAUUAACAGUAUUUUCAAUGACUAAUUUAAUAAAACAUUCUGUGAAACUUUGAUGGUUACCA
ensembl:lncRNA